GACGAACGCUGGCGGCGUGCUUAACACAUGCAAGUCGAACGGAAAGGCCCUGCUUUUGUGGGGUGCUCGAGUGGCGAACGGGUGAGUAACACGUGAGUAACCUGCCCUUGACUUUGGUAUAACUUCAGGAAACUGGGGCUAAUACCGGAUAGGAGCUCCUGCUGCAUGGUGGGGGUUGGAAAGUUUCGGCGGUUGGGGAUGGACUCGCGGCUUAUCAGCUUGUUGGUGGGGUAGUGGCUUACCAAGGCUUUGACGGGUAGCCGGCCUGAGAGGGUGACCGGACACAUUGGGACUGAGAUACGGCACAGACUCCUACGGGAGGCAGCAGUGGGGAAUAUUGCAAAAUGGGCGGAAGCCUGAUGCAGCAACGCCGCGUGCGGGAUGACGGCCUUGGGGUUGUAAACCGCUUUCGCCUGUGACGAAGCGUGAGUGACGGUAAUGGGUAAAGAAGCACCGGCUAACUACGUG
rnacentral:rRNA from 1 species